rnacentral:tRNA from 1 species
CGGGGCGUGGCGCAGCCUGGUAGCGCAUCUGCUUUGGGAGCAGAGGGUCGCAGGUUCGAAUCCUGCCGCCCCGA